rnacentral:lncRNA from 1 species
AACCGGAUGAUGGCAGAAACCAAGGGAGGGCAGGCAGAGCGGAAACGAGCCAGGAAAAGCGACAAGUCAGGAAGACCCUCGGCUCCUAUCCCGCCCCACCGCAGGGCCCCACACAGCCUGAGCCCGGGCCCCGAAAGGAACGAGGCCUCCUGCGCCUCGCGGAGACACUCACUUUUCACCUGAGGCCACCAGCUCUUUGCCCUCGCUGUUGCCAAACGCGUCCGUCUCCCCGGGGCCGUCCUUGGGGCCGGGCGCCGCCGGGGCAGCGGGUGGCGACACCCCGGGCUGCGGAUGCGUGCUCCCCUUGCCCAGCUCCUGCAAGAUCUCCGAAGGAGAGCUGGACAGGCCCCGCGCGAGGGGCUCCGCCGGCCAGCCGCCCCCGCCCCACCACGGGUGGAGUCGCGCGGCGGCAGCCGGGCCCGCGGCCGGCCGUCCCCCGCCUCGGGGACGCCGGCACAGGGUGACCAAGGGCUGUGCCCGCCGCAGAGUCGCGCUCACGCCGGCGGGCGACCGCAGGAGCAGGUCCCGCAGCAUCCCCGAGCCUCGCAGCCGCAUCAUGCCGCCGGGUCCGUCAGCGCCCGCUCAACAGGGGAGGAUGCUCCGGGCGUGGGCGGCCGGUUUCCUCGGGGAACGCGGUCUGUGGUGGGGCGGUGAGAUGACAGAAGAGGAAAGGGCAGCUACUUGGGUGUGGUUCCGGCUCGGACUCCCGCAGCGGAUGCGGGUGCUGCUGCUGCUGCUGCUGCUGCUGCUGCUGCUGCUGCUGCUGCUGCGCGCUAGGAUUGCCGCGACCGGUUCUCUUCGCUCCGCCUAAGGCUCCGCACUGAGGCUAAAGCGCAGGGGAGGGCUAGAGACCUUCAGCGCUCGCCGACGGCCCGCCCCUUUCGCCCGCUGCGAUUGGCUCAAAUCCUCGACCUCUCUUUUGAUUGGCGAUUAGGGCAGUCAAAUUUCUCUCGGCUCUGGGUGCGCGGAGAGUAGGGCGGGGGAUUGGUGGGGGGCGGGGAGAGGAGUCAAACUGACGUGUGAAGCGGGUGAGCCAGGCCCGGCUGCUCAGUAGCCACUUUCUGCACGCCGUGCCAACUCCGAGGCUAGCCUAGUUGGGUACUAGGGGCUCUGGGUUCUCGCAUUUAUGAAGCAGUGGGCUCCUCCACUCUGGGAAUUCGAGCUGUUGGGGAGACUCAUGGGCGAGAUCCCCCGCAGCCGAGGGCAGUGAGGUCAGCAGGUUUGGCAGGGCUGAGUCUGGCCGAGCUGUCGGAACUCAGCCGAUCCCAGCUCGCAUCUGGCCCCCAGGUCAGGGCGUCUGGCGACUCCUCCGAGAGCAGCCCCGGACAAGCUUCAUCCCUCUCCCAAAUGUAACAUUUGCUUGAAACUUUCCAUGAUUGGCUACUACCCAGACGUGAAGUGUUUUGGAAAAAAUGAGCAAAAUCCUUUCAGCUAUGCGACUUAAGCCAUGGGAGGGUGGAGGUGGAGGGAGGGCGACGAGUGGCGAGGCGGGGUGGGGGGGUUGCGGAAUCCAGAAUACGACAGCUUUCUUUUUUAAAAAUUAUUUUUUUUAAAUGUACACCGAUACUUCAAAAAUAGUUUUGAAUAGCAAUGAUUCCGUUAACGCUAUUUGCUUGAAAGCAAAACUGUAGAUACUUUUCUAUUUUAAAAACUGCUUCACUGUUUUAAAAUAGAAGCGUUGGAAUA